rnacentral:rRNA from 1 species
AUGCAAGUCGAACGGAAAGGCUCCAGCUUGCUGGAGUACUCGAGUGGCGAACGGGUGAGUAACACGUGGGUAAACUGCCCUGCACUCUGGGAUAAGCCUGGGAAACUGGGUCUAAUACUGGAUAUGACCUUUCUCCUUAUGGGGUUUGGUGGAAAGUUUUUCGGUGUAGGAUGAGCCCGCGGCCUAUCAGCUUGUUGGUGGGGUGAUGGCCUACCAAGGCGACGACGGGUAGCCGGCCUGAGAGGGUGAUCGGCCACAUUGGGACUGAGAUACGGCCCAGACUCCUACGGGAGGCAGCAGUGGGGAAUAUUGCACAAUGGGCGGAAGCCUGAUGCAGCGACGCCGCGUGAGGGAUGACGGCCUUCGGGUUGUAAACCUCUUUCAGCAGGGACGAAGCGUAAGUGACGGUACCUGCAGAAGAAGCACCGGCUAACUACGCGCCAGCAGCCGCGGUAAUACGUAGGGUGCGAGCGUUGUCCGGAAUUACUGGGCGUAAAGAGCUCGUAGGCGGUUUGUCACGUCGUCUGUGAAAUCUAGGGCUUAACCCUGGACGUGCAGGCGAUACGGGCUGACUUGAGUACUACAGGGGAGACUGGAAUUCU